CGCACUCCAGCCUGAGCAACAAGAGGAAACUCCAUCUCAAAAAAAAAAAAAAAAAAAAAAAAGAGAGAGAGAGAAAGUAAACCUACCAGUCUCCACUCUGCCCCACCAUUUACCUCUUGGCCCAGAGAUUCAAGAUCUAUACUAGUGAGGGAUCCAUAGCCAGAACUAUGAUUGAUCUUAAGAUUUGUAAUAUCUUAGAGUGAGAACGUAGGGUGGGUUGAAGAUCAUAAGAAUAUAAUGAUGAAAGGAAACAAUCAAAGGCCUUCAUCGGAGUAAUGAUGCUGAGGACGGUGACUAACCCAGCACUCUGACUCUACUGUUCAUUUAAAAUGUGUUUGUGCGAAUACAGCUGAAAGCACUAGUAAAGAGAAAAUGCGUGAGUUAUCGACAAUACAAUGUAAACAAAUCAAUAAAAAAGAAUAAAAGGAAGUAGAGUAAGAUGAAGUCAGGGA
rnacentral:lncRNA from 1 species